UUGGAGGCACUGCCUGCCCAGUGACAAUCGUUAAACGGCCGCGGUAUCCUGACCGUGCAAAGGUAGCAUAAUCAUUUGUUCCCUAAAUAGGGACUUGUAUGAAUGGCCACACGAGGGUUUUACUGUCUCUUACUUCCAAUCAGUGAAAUUGACCUUCCCGUGAAGAGACGGGGAUAGACAAAUAAGACGAGAAGACCCUAUGGAGCUUUAACUAACCAGCCCAAAGAAAACAAACUCAACCACCAAGGGACAACAAAAUUCUUUAUGGGCUAGCAGUUUCGGUUGGGGUGACCUCGGAGAAUAAGAAAUCCUCCGAGCGAUUUUAAAGAUCAGACCUACAAGUCGAAUCAAAUCAUCGCUUAUUGAUCCAAAAAUUUGAUCAACGGAACAAGUUACCCUAGGGAUAACAGCGCAAUCCUAUUCAAGAGUCCAUAUCGACAAUAGGGUUUACGACCUCGAUGUUGGAUCAGGACACCCCGAUGGUGCAGCCGCUAUCAAA
rnacentral:rRNA from 1 species